CUGGGCCGGUUCCGACGCCGACGACGUUGCCAAUGGCCGACUGGGUCGGGAAGGUCUCUGCCGGCCGUAAGGCCCGGGGUCCUCGCGCCUCCCGAAACGUCGCAGGUACUAAGCAGACAAGUGCCUUGAAACAAGAAGAUGCUUCUAAAAGCUGGCAAUCUUGUGUCAUUUCUCCAAAUUGUUUUUGUAAGACAUAUUGCUCCAGGCCAGGAACUAGAGUCUAAAGUCUUGGAAAUCAGUGAAGGAAGGGAGAAAAGGAAAGCCGAACUGGAAGCAGUUGUCAGAAAGAAGAUUGAGUUUGAGAGAAAAGCUCUACGUAUUGUUGAACAGCUUUUAGAAGAGAAUAUUACAGAAGAAUUCCUAAGGGAGUGUGGGAAGUUCAUCACACCUGCUCAUUAUAGUGAUGUCGUGGAUGAGCGUUCUAUUAUCAAACUCUGUGGCUAUCCCUUAUGUUGGAAGAAGCUAGGAAUUGUACCAAAACAGAAAUAUAAAAUUUCUACCAAAACCAAUAAAGUCUAUGAUAUUACUGAAAGAAAGUGUUUUUGCAGCAAUUUUUGUUAUAAAGCAUCGAAAUUUUUCGAAGCACAAAUUCCUAAAACUCCAGUGUGGGUUCGAGAAGAAGAAAGAUGUCCUGAUUUUCAGCUGCUACAGGAAGGACAAAGUGGUCAUUCUGGAGAAGAAAUACAGUUAUGCAGUAAGGCCAUUAAAACAUCAGAUGUUGACAAGCAUGAUGAAUCUAGUUCUUCUGGCACUCAUAAUGAUAGUAGCAGUGAUAAUGAGCAAGACUUUGUUUCCUCCAUUCUACAAGGAAACAGACCAAGUGCAACGGGUAUAAGGCCACAGCUGCACAAAAAAAGCAUAAUGAAAAAGAAAGCUGGUCAAAAGGUUGACUCCAAACAUGAAAGCAAAGAACAGACAGUAAUAGAUGUCACUGAGCAGUUAGGCAAUUGCAGAUUAGACAGUGAGGAGAAAGCUGCUGCUUGUGAACUUCCUUUACAGAAUGUAUGUACUCAGAUUUCUUCAGAUAGGUCUCCGCAAGAAAAAUUAGAGGCUUCAAAAAUUUCUGAAAAUAAAUACAGUAGUUCAAAAAUAACUCUUGUAGGCAUAAGUAAGAAAAGUGCUGAGCAUUUUAAGAGGAAAUUUGCCAAAUCGAACCAAGUUUCUAGGUCAGCUUCUAGUUCAGUGCAGGUGUGCCCUGAAGUUGCAAAGGCAAACUUACUUAAAGCCCUGAAGGAGACUUUGAUUGAGUGGAAGACAGAAGAAACUUUGAGGUUUUUGUAUGGCCAGAAUUAUGCUUCUGUAUGUCUGAAACCCUCUUCAGCCCCUCUGGUUAAGGAAGAAGAACUUGAUGAAGAUGAUGUGAACUGUGACCCAGACAGUCAUUCCCCUGCCUUGCAGGAAUCUCAGAACAGCUUGGAUGAGUCUUUACCGUUUAGAGCCUCAGAUACAGCCAUUAAACCACUGCCAAGUUAUGAGAACUUGAAAAAAGAAACUGAAACAUUAAAUCUAAGGAUCAGGGAGUUUUAUAGAGGACGAUAUGUUUUGAAUGAAGAAACCACCAAAUCACAAGACUCGGAAGAGCAUGAUCCCACCUUUCCACUGAUAGAUUCAAGUUCUCAGAACCAGAUUAGAAAACGCAUCGUACUUGAAAAAUUGAGUAAAAUAUUGCCUGGACUUAUGGGGCCUCUUCAGAUUACAUUAGGAGAUGUUCACACACAACUUAAAAAUCUUGUCCGAACUUUCAGAUUAACAAACAGAAAUAUUAUACAUAAACCUGCAGAGUGGACCUUAAUUGCUUUGGUGUUGCUGUCAUUACUGACCUCAAUUCUCGGCAUUCAGAAGCAUUCUCAGGAAAAUGUAAUGUUUACACAGUUUUUGACCACCCUGCUUGAAGAAUUACACUUAAAGAAUGAAGACCUUGAAAGUUUAACCAUCAUAUUUAGAACCAGCUGUUAACCACAGUGGCUACUGUCCUAUAACAGAACUUUAUAGGUUCUGUUUCUUGCAAUCCAGGAAACUCGUUGCUAUCAGCUUCAUACUCAAAUCUAGACCAUCCCAUCCUGCAUGUCCCAUCUGAUGUUUCUUCCCAGCAAGUAGCAGUUUACUUCAACCAAACUGCUGCAGUGAUCUUUGAGAAUAUCCUCAUCCUACUUCCCUCCUCAGCCCAGCCAAUACCUUAGUCAUCUCAUGUGCAGAUAAACAGUACUUUUAAGGAUCAAACCCACGCUGCAGCAGUGAAAGCACCGAGUCCUAACCACUGGACUGCCAGAGAAUUCCCUAAACAAUAGAUGUUUUAAGUGGACUUAACAGUUGCCCUGUGAUCAUUGUUUUUUUUACAUUGUUCAUUUGUGUAAGUAAUCAAAGGUAAAUCUUUGCCCGGACUUUGUCAGUAUUAAAAGGGACACUGAAUGAAUGAGGCCUUAUUACAUAAUUUUCCAUAUGAGAAAUGGAGAUGGUUGUGAAUAGGUAGAUGGGUUUUUUUUGUUGUUGUUUGUAUGAUAUUUGUAAACCAUAAGUUCACAAAAUUAUUUGUGUAUAAUAUGGCCUACCCUUUUCAAGAUUAGAUUACUAAUAGCUAGGAUAUGUUAAUAUGCUUUCAGUUACAAAUAACAGGGAAGAAAAAAAAAAACCCAGCUCAAACUAGCUUUUCUUAUGCUAGUAUAUUAAUUAUCUUUUGCAGCUUAAAAAUUACUGUAAAAUUUAGUGGCUUAAAACAAACUUUUUUUUUAAUCUCAGUUUCUGUGAGUCGGGAAUCUGGGCACAAUUUGGCUUAGGGCCUCUGCCUCAAAGUCUCUCAUGAGGUUGCAGUUAAGCUCUCUGACAGGGCUGCAAUGUCAUCUGAAGGCUCAGCUGGAGGAAGAUUCCCUUCCAAGCUCACUCAUGUGGUUAUUGGCAGGAUUUAGUUCCUCACAGGCUGUUGAAUUCGGGGCCUCAGUUCCUCAUAGCUGUUGCCUAGAGACCUCUCUCAGUUCUUUGCCACGUGGGCCACUCCAGAGUGUGCCUUGCUGCUUGGCAUGUUGCUUCCCUCAGAGUGAGCAAGUGAGAUGAAACCCAAGAUGAAAGCCACAGUCUUUUUGUAACUAAUCUCAGAAGUAACAUCCAUCACUUUUUCUGUAUUCCAUGACUAGUUAGAAACUAAUCACUGGACUCAGCCCAUAUUGAAGGUGAGUGGAUUAUAUAAGGGGAUGAAUACCAGAAGGCAGAGUUCAUUGGGUGUCAUUUUAGAAGCUGUCUACUACAGAUGGCAGAAUCAUUCAGUAGUUCCCAGCUUUACAGCAUACCUCACUGUCCUACUGAGAGUCUUAAACUUUUCACACUAAUUGAGGGCACUUCUGAACUAAUCCAUGUCAUUCUAGCAAGGAAUGGAGGAGAGAGAAGAGGAUUUUCUAAUUGACCUAGAUCUAUCAGGGCCUACCCCUCAAGCUGAAUAUGAAGCUGGGUUUAUUCUACCCAACCCACUGUUGCUACAUAAUAGGGGAAAAUGGAAUGUAUAUUGGGGAGACAACACAGUGUUCCCCAAAACUGGUAAAAAUAUUUUAGGUGUCUUAUUCAGGUGUCCUUUUUUGUUUCACAGGUAAUCCGUGAAGACCAAAUAGAUGAACUUACAUUGACCAUUUCUGGAAUUCUAGCCACAAUAAUUGUACAGUUAGAGCUACUUAUCAGUCACCACCGGACAGAGUGACUUCACCAGAUAGAGGAGAACCAUUAUUCCAACAAGGAUAAGCAAGUCCUUGCAUCCUAGAUAGAAGAUACAGUAUUUCUACUUAUUUGAAAAUGAAAGCUGAAAUCUUAAGUUGAAACUUCAAGAAAAUAUAAUGACCUGUUUCUUCUGGAUUAUUACAGCCAUCAUAUCAGUUGACCAGAAAAUUGAGAAAAGUCCCAUUUUAGCCUCAUAGUCCAACUCUGGAUUCUAAAGAACAGUGAAGAAUUAGGUCAAUAAA